rnacentral:rRNA from 1 species
CCUGGCGGCAUUAGCGAGUUGGAACCACCCGAUCCCAUCCCGAACUCGGAAGUGAAACGGCUCAGCGCCGAUGAUAGUGUGGGGUUUCCCCAUGUGAAAGUAGGUCACUGCCAGGC